rnacentral:rRNA from 1 species
UACGUAGGGGGCUAGCGUUGUCCGGAAUCAUUGGGCGUAAAGCGCGUGUAGGCGGUCCGGUAAGUCCGCUGUGAAAGUCGGGGGCUCAACCCUCGGAUGCCGGUGGAUACUGUCGGGCUUGAGUACGGAAGAGGCGAGUGGAAUUCCUGGUGUAGCGGUGAAAUUCGUAGAUAUCGGGAGGAACACCAGUGGCGAAGGCGACUACCUGGCCUGUUCUUGACGCUGAGGCGCGAAAGCUAGGGGAGCAAACGGG